rnacentral:tRNA from 1 species
CGUCGCCGUAGUUGGGCGCCAGGAUCUGCCGCGCCAGCAGGCGGUGCGGCACGUCGCGCAGGCCGCCGCUCGGCGGGGCGGGCGGCGC